AGAGAGAGAGAGAAGAGAGAAGAGAGAGAACGGCUAGCAGGUGAGUCUUUACUUUCACUUUCUUCUUGCGGCCCGCCUCCUCCUUUUUAUUUUUAAAUUUCUUCCUUUUUUUUCCUUCGAA
rnacentral:ribozyme from 1 species